UCGCUGUGCUUUGUUGGGGCUCUCAUUUGAGAAACAUUUUUGUUCUUAUACUCAGAUUUUUGUCAAACAGAGUUGAGCCAGAGGAACAGUCCAGGGUGGCAGAGGGACACACCAGGAAGGAGCAGGAGAGAUGACCCAGGGAGGAUCCAGGGACGACCCAGAGACAAUCCUUAGAACUCAAAGUCAAAAGUAAGACCAAAGACCAAAGGGAGUGGGAGAUUGAACAAGAAGUCUGGAGACUUUAAGUUGGAUAGAACUGGCAGGGCGAUGUUGCUGGCUCAUACACCUGGUCAGACAAAAUAUCAAGUUUUGGAGUGGUCCAAUCCAUGGAGUACACCAGAACAUCAACAGACCAAUUUGUGGUGCUAGCUGUGGACUCCACAUCCCAUCUUCAAGGUCAUCAAUCUGGAGACGAUGCAGCUUUGGACGGACGAUUUUUUCCAUCAUGUCUACCCUGUCUUUCAUGUUUCACAAAUUAAACCUGUCUUGUGUUCUCCCCCACUAUUCCCUCACAAGAAGAAAUGAGGAAGCAAACAUACAAUCCACUAUUGACAGACUGAUGUUAUCUAAUAAACAAAGGCUCCCAUAUUUAUUUUUUAGACCCAGUGUCCAUCAGUCCGAGGAAAUAGUGUGCUGCUACUUUAUAAUAAACUAUAUGAUGUAUUAUAA
rnacentral:lncRNA from 1 species